UACGUAGGCGGUUUAGUGUGUUAGAUGUGAAAGCCCAGGGCUUAACCUUGGAAUUGCAUUUAAAACUGCUAGACUUGAGCAUAACACGGGAUGGUGGAAUUUCUAGUGUAGGGGUAAAAUCCGUAGAUAUUAGAAGGAACACCAGCAGUGCAGACGACCAUCUUGGUUAUCGCUGACGCUAAGGUACGAAAGCGUGGGUAGCAAACAGGAUUAGAUACCCUGGUAGUCC
rnacentral:rRNA from 1 species